GUGGGAUGGGAACUCCUCCCCCCAUUAUGUCCCUUUGUUUGAUGUAAUCUAUCAGCAACUUGGAGGUCAUUUAUCAUUGAGAUGUGCAGGGAUAGACAGACCUUCAGAGAAAGGAAGUUGAAGCCAAUGAGACAGGAAAUUGAUCCCACAGUCACUACCCCCUCCCAGGUGGUGCCAGACAAAUUAAGGGACUAUGAUUGGUUCCUGAGAGUCAGUGGGUAGAGAAAACUGUUUAUGAAGGCAAGACCAAGGCUCUGGACACACACUCUUGCACUGUCCUGAAGGAACCUCUGUGGGUGGUGAGCUUGAUUCCAUCAGAAUGGCACCUAGGGCAGUAGGUUAGGCAACUCUACCUCUUUCCUACAUUUCCCUCACUUUACUUUCACUACUUUGAUGUAAUGAAGCUACUAAAGCUACUAGCAGCCUCAUAAUUUAAUUUUAACUAUCACACUAACUGUGUGACUCUGAACAAGACCUAAGUUUCUGUAGCUGAAAAAUGAGGAACUUCUCAGGGAUCUCCAUAGCAACCAUCUCUUCAUUCCAAAGACUGAGGCAACAGCUGCUGACGUACACAUGGCCUCAGAUCCUGCCAAGGAUGACCAGCUGAUAGACCCUUUCCUCUAUUAGGAGAUCUCUUCCCACAUUAGAAGAUUGUUGAUUUAGGCUCCAAGAAUAAUGCCAUUUUUAAAGCCUAGGGAUUUUCUCUACUGACUCCUCUGAACUUCCAAAGGUCAGUGAGCAAAGACGUUGUUGUUUUACCCUUUUGAAAUAAUACUCAGUAGGACAUCUCUCUGGCUGGGAAAGCUCUACUUGACUGGAACAUCUCCUGCUGGAGUCAGGAGCCAAAGUUUAUGCAGAGGGGAAGUAGUCUCUGGUGCUCUUGAAGCCAAUGAACUGGGUCAACAUCAGCCUGAGUUCACUUAUCAUACAAAGCUUAAUUAAUGACUUAAAAAUGCAAGAUCCUGUACUGAGCACUGAGAAAGCUAUGGAUAUAACUAAGGCCUGUUAUCUGCCCUCAAGGAACUUCCAAUCCAGUAGUAGAAUCUAUGAAAAGAGAAAUAUCUACCAGAACCACCAUUCCUCCUUCCUCCACCACCAUGUAUGCUGGAUUAGUUCUUAAAAGAUAUUAAAGCAUGCUUGAGACUUAA